AAAUUGAAGAGUUUGAUCAUGGCUCAGAUUGAACGCUGGCGGCAGGCCUAACACAUGCAAGUCGAACGGUAGCAGGAAACAGCUUGCUGUUUCGCUGACGAGUGGCGGACGGGUGAGUAAUGUCUGGGAAACUGCCCGAUGGAGGGGGAUAACUACUGGAAACGGUAGCUAAUACCGCAUAACGUCGCAAGACCAAAGAGGGGGACCUUC
rnacentral:rRNA from 1 species